rfam:Schistosoma haematobium scaffold145_4, whole genome shotgun sequence.
AUCCAGCUGACUAGUCCCAAAUAGGACGAAACGCGCGUCCUGGAU